UACGUAGGGGGCAAGCGUUAUCCGGAUUUACUGGGUGUAAAGGGAGCGUAGGCGGCAGGGCAAGCCUGAUGUGAAAGCCCGGGGCUCAACCCCGGGACUGCAUUGGGAACUGCCCCGCUCGAGUGCCGGAGGGGCAGGCGGAAUUCCUUGUGUAGCGGUGAAAUGCGUAGAUAUAAGGAAGAACACCAGUGGCGAAGGCGGAUAACUGGACGGCAACUGACGGUGAGGCGCGAAAGCGUGGGGAGCAAACAGG
rnacentral:rRNA from 1 species